rnacentral:rRNA from 1 species
UAGGGAAUCUUCGGCAAUGGGGGGAACCCUGACCGAGCAACGCCGCGUGAGUGAAGAAGGUUUUCGGAUCGUAAAGCUCUGUUGUUAAGGAAGAACGAGUGUGAGAAUGGAAAGUUCAUACUGUGACGGUACUUAACCAGAAAGGGACGGCUAACUACGUGCCAGCAGCCGCGGUAAUACGUAGGUCCCGAGCGUUGUCCGGAUUUAUUGGGCGUAAAGCGAGCGCAGGCGGUUAGAUAAGUCUGAAGUUAAAGGCAGUGGCUCAACCAUUGUAGGCUUUGGAAACUGUUUAACUUGAGUGCAGAAGAGGAGAGUGGAAUUCCAUGUGUAGCGGUGAAAUGCGUAGAUAUAUGGAGGAACACCGGUGGCGAAAGCGGCUCUCUGGUCUGUAACUGACGCUGAGGCUCGAAAGCGUGGGGAGCGAACAGG